GCCCAGCUUCAAGCUCAGUCGGUAGAGCACAGAACACUUAAUCUUGGGGUCGUGGGUUCCCGAGCCCACGUUGAGCU